rnacentral:rRNA from 1 species
UGGCGGACGGGUGAGUAACGCGUGAGUAACCUGCCUUUCAGAGGGGAAUAACGUUCUGAAAAGAACGCUAAUACCGCAUAACGUACAGUUACCGCAUGGUAGCAGUACCAAAGGAGCAAUCCGCUGAAAGAUGGACUCGCGUCCGAUUAGCUAGUUGGUGGGGUAAAGGCCUACCAAGGCGACGAUCGGUAGCCAGACUGAGAGGUUGAACGGCCACAUUGGGACUGAGACACGGCCCAG